AUUGAACGCUGGCGGCAUGCCUUACACAUGCAAGUCGAACGGUAACAGGUCUUCGGAUGCUGACGAGUGGCGAACGGGUGAGUAAUACAUCGGAACGUGCCCAGACGUGGGGGAUAACGAGGCGAAAGCUUUGCUAAUACCGCAUACGAUCUAAGGAUGAAAGCAGGGGACCGCAAGGCCUUGCGCGUUUGGAGCGGCCGAUGGCAGAUUAGGUAGUUGGUGGGAUAAAAGCUUACCAAGCCGACGAUCUGUAGCUGGUCUGAGAGGACGACCAGCCACACUGGGAAUGAGACACGGCCCAGACUCCCAAGGGAGGCAGCCGUGGGGAAUUUUGGACAAUGGGCGAAAGCCUGAUCCAGCAAUGCCGCGGGCAGGAUGAAGGCCUUCGGGGUGGAAAAUGCUUUUGUAAGGGAAGAAAAGGGUCUGGCUAAUACCUGGGGCACAUGACGGUACCGUAAGAAUAAGCACCGGCUAACUACGUG
rnacentral:rRNA from 1 species